rnacentral:rRNA from 1 species
CGAGCGGACAGAUGGGAGCUUGCUCCCUGAUGUUAGCGGCGGACGGGUGAGUAACACGUGGGUAACCUGCCUGUAAGACUGGGAUAACUCCGGGAAACCGGGGCUAAUACCGGAUGCUUGUUUGAACCGCAUGGUUCAAACAUAAAAGGUGGCUUCGGCUACCACUUACAGAUGGACCCGCGGCGCAUUAGCUAGUUGGUGAGGUAACGGCUCACCAAGGCAACGAUGCGUAGCCGACCUGAGAGGGUGAUCGGCCACACUGGGACUGAGACACGGCCCAGACUCCUACGGGAGGCAGCAGUAGGGAAUCUUCCGCAAUGGACGAAAGUCUGACGGAGCAACGCCGCGUGAGUGAUGAAGGUUUUCGGAUCGUAAAGCUCUGUUGUUAGGGAAGAACAAGUACCGUUCGAAUAGGGCGGUACCUUGACGGUACCUAACCAGAAAGCCACGGCUAACUACGUGCCAGCAGCCGCGGUAAUACGUAGGUGGCAAGCGUUGUCCGGAAUUAUUGGGCGUAAAGGGCUCGCAGGCGGUUUCUUAAGUCUGAUGUGAAAGCCCCCGGCUCAACCGGGGAGGGUCAUUGGAAACUGGGGAACUUGAGUGCAGAAGAGGAGAGUGGAAUUCCACGUGUAGCGGUGAAAUGCGCAGAUA